ACACAUACAUGGUGUUAUGAUAAUCCAUGCAGUGUUAAUCAUCAUUAAAUCAGGAGACCAGAAUCUCUCUAUCCACUGACCUUACAAGCAUCCCCAUCUGUUGACUUACGAAGAAAGGAACGCCCUUUUCACUGCUGCAUCUUCUUUGUCCUCCAAACUGUUUGCUUGCCUUUAAUCUUUCCCUUUAAGCUCUUACUGUGUUCUAUGAUGCAGCAAAAUCUUUCCUGACAUGAAAGCUGGGUUAGAUACAUCACCUCCCAUGAACCAAUACGAUUUGAGAAGCCAAAGAGGGAACUGUGCACAUGAGCGUACACAGAAAUCCAGCAGCAGUGUGUUCGGGGAUGGGAACAGAAAGGUGAAUCCAGGUGAAGACAGAGCGACAGCACCCCCCGUGGCUGAAGUUGAGCACAGCCUCCAAAUGCCAGAAAUGGAAAAGAUGGGAAAAGCCUUUACCUUUGUUUAUGUAUUGUCUGUCCUUGUUAACUGUAUAACGGCAUUGAAUGUUUGCCAUAUAUGUGUUCUGUAAUCUGCCCUGAGAUAGAGCAGAAUAUAAAUAAAGUAUAUUAUUAUUAUUAA